rnacentral:SRP_RNA from 1 species
GCCGGGUGUGGUGGCGCACACCUGUAAUCCCAGCUACUUGGGAGGCCGAGGCAGGAAAAUUGCUUGAACCUGGGAGGUGGAGGUUGCAGUGAGCCAAGAUUGCACCACUGCACUCCAGCCUGGGUGACAGAGUGAGACUCUGUCUCAA